rnacentral:rRNA from 1 species
UACAGAGACUGCAAGCGUUAUUCGGAUUCACUGGGCGUAAAGGGUGCGCAGGCGGUUGUGUGUGUCAGGUGUGAAAGCCCGGGGCUUAACCCCGGAAUUGCGCCCGAAACUACAUGACUAGAGCAUUGGAGAGGGUAGCGGAAUUCACGGUGUAGCAGUGAAAUGCGUAGAUAUCGUGAGGAACACCAGAGGCGAAGGCGGCUACCUGGACAAUUGCUGACGCUCAGGCACGAAAGCGUGGGGAGCAAAAGGG